rnacentral:lncRNA from 1 species
UUGAAGACAAUAAUGGUUUUCAUAUCAAAGCUUUUCAAGGAGAAUGAAAACUAGAAGUUGUUUUUCUUCCAUAACAUUCAAUUAUAUCAAAAGUUAGUCUUGAGAAUCCAUUACUUCGGGGGUAAGAGUAAUGUUGUUACUUCAAUUCUAAAUCUUUAUGCAUUUUUGUAUAUUUUUAGAUUUUAUCAUUAUCUUCCAUUUCUAUGGAUUUGGAUUGUGUCAAAGAAAAUAUUGGUCUUUUUUUUUUUCUUUUUCAUUUGUAUCCAUUUUUUUAGAUUUUCUUAGCCAUUAAAAUUAAACAAAGAAAUUUCUUUUUUUGUUAGCCAUUUCAAUCGUAAGUAAGCAAACGUUAAAAUCGUAAGUACUUACAUUUUUUUUUAUUGUUUCAAUGUUGAUCCACUUUAUUCUUUUUGUUCUCACUUUAUAAGCAUUCUUAACAUUGUUUUCGACAACAUAUAUUUACAAAUGUGUUAUAACCCUUUCUAACUUUUCUUUUCUUAAACUAAUGAAAUAAAUAAGCUUAUAAAUUUAUUCUCUAUCUUAUCUUUUGUUUUGCUUUGUGUUGUUAUAUCUACUAAUACUUUAAACUUGUUGCAAGGAUGUAAAUGAACAUAUAUGAUUUUCAUACCCAAGAAUGUAUCAAAAGAUAUUCCAAUUACAUUAAGCAUUACACUAAUUUAGUAUGUACGUAUAGAAAAAGAACUCAUUCCCUAUAGAUUUACUAUCUAAAACUCUUCAACCCAUCUCAAAUCUUGAAGUAAAAACGAAGACAAAAUCAAUCCUAAACCCCAUCCUAUCCGUGAUGGUUCGACCACACAUCUAAUUAAUCAAAGUUGUUUCUAUCUGAGAUAGAAAGCUCUUUGCUCCUACCUACUUUUAUCCAAAUUUAUAUUUCAUUUAACACUACAAAUUACGACAGAUGAGAGAGACAUACGAAUUCAAUAAGAACCACCAGCAUGAAAGUUGUGCUAUUGUUGAUUUAGUACUGGAAGUGCUGCAGGACGUGGUCUAACAACGUUGAGUACUCCUCGAGCAGUAGCCUGUUGCAUAACAAAAAUUAUACGACAUAAGACUAGCUCAGGGUGAAAAUCAAUUUCUAAGAUGUUAUAAAGAAUCUUUUUACCUCAAAGAAGGAAUUGAAAUUCAAAC